UAAGACAGAGGUGCCAAGCGUUAGGCGGAAUCACUGGGCUUAAAGCGUGUGUAGGCGGAUUUGUAAGUACCUUGUGAAAUCCCACAGCUCAACUGUGGAACUGCUGGGUAUACUGCUUAUCUUGAGCCACUUAGGGGCUGUCGGAACAAAUGGUGGAGCGGUGAAAUGCGUAGAUAUCAUUUGGAACGCCAACGGUGAAAACAGACAGCUGGGAGUGUGCUGACGCUGAGACACGAAAGCCAGGGGAGCGAACGGGAUUAGAUACCCCGGUAGUCCUGGCCCUAAACGAUGUCGACUAGAUCGUGGUAGCUCUGACGCUUUCACGGUCGAAGCAAAAGUGCUAAGUCGACCGCCUGGGAAGUACGGUCGCAAGGCUA
rnacentral:rRNA from 1 species